CCCAAAGUCGCCGUUUUGUUCUUUGCCAACAACCGCAAUCAUCAUCAUCUUCCCCAUCUCCACUUCUCUAGAUUCCAAAAUCUCAAAUUCUCCCAUCUCAAAUCUAACAGAUUUGGGAAUUGGCAAGAGCCAAGAAGGAUUUUUGAGUCUAACACAACAAUUUCGUUGGGUUAUAAUAUCAUGGCUCCAAUUAGAAAAUAUUCUUCCGGUGCUCAAAAGAGAAAAGAGAAGCAAAAGAGAGAUGCAUUAGUUAAGCUUCAAGCCGGAUCUCUUAGUAAGUACUUCAACACAAAUAAUAAACAAGCACAGACUUCAGCUGAUGCAAGUAUACUUGAGAAUGAGAAGGAUAUUGAAGAACAUGAUCAGUUAAUGACUGAAAAUGAGCGUGCAUAACUGAGUCAAGGUCUUAAUGCCAAUGAAAAAGAUGAUCUUAGUAAGCCUAUACAUGAAAGUGGUGGUACAGACGAACCAAAUCUUCCGGUGAAUGAGGAAGGAAAUAUUAUUGCUGAAGAUGAUCGAAACAAAAAUUCAAGUGCAGAAUUUGAAUUAAUAUAAAAUUUUGGUAAAUGAUUUUGGGAUUGCUAUAUUGAUAUGUUACAAUGGGGAGCCCCAUUUUUCCUUUUGGCCUAGAGCCCCUAAAAACUCAGGGCCGGCCCUGCUUAAUAGUUGUUCUCUUUUGAUGGUUUUUUGCUGGACUCUAGACAAGAUUGAUUUACUUAUAUUUAACAGAAUAAUCUGAUAGGUCUACAACAAGUUUGUCUAUUUGUUUUCUUUUUGUGCAUUCAACUUUUGGUUUUUAGAUUUUC